GAUGAACGCUGGCGGCGUGCCUAAUACAUGCAAGUCGAGCGAACAGACGAGGAGCUUGCUCCUCUGACGUUAGCGGCGGACGGGUGAGUAACACGUGGAUAACCUACCUAUAAGACUGGGAUAACUUCGGGAAACCGGAGCUAAUACCGGAUAAUAUAUUGAACCGCAUGGUUCAAUAGUGAAAGACGGUUUUGCUGUCACUUAUAGAUGGAUCCGCGCCGCAUUAGCUAGUUGGUAAGGUAACGGCUUACCAAGGCGACGAUGCGUAGCCGACCUGAGAGGGUGAUCGGCCACACUGGAACUGACACGGUCCAGACUCCUACGGGAGGCAGCAGUAGGGAAUCUUCCGCAAUGGGCGAAAGCCUGACGGAGCAACGCCGCGUGAGUGAUGAAGGUCUUCGGAUCGUAAAACUCUGUUAUUAGGGAAGAACAAAUGUGUAAGUAACUAUGCACGUCUUGACGGUACCUAAUCAGAAAGCCACGGCUAACUACGUG
rnacentral:rRNA from 1 species